rnacentral:tRNA from 1 species
UGUAAAAUAGUGUACGGAGCACGAAAGUUUUUGAUCCUUUAAGCCCUGGUUCAAUUCCAUGAUUUACAA